rnacentral:sRNA from 1 species
UCCUAGCCUUGAUAGCAGUGAAAAUCCUUAUAUGCCGGUCCCGAAACUUCGGGAUGGCGUAUAAGAUUGUAACGAAUAGCGGGAUAAAGC